UUUGGGAUUAAAAACAGUUCGGACCACACUGAAAUAUGCAAGAUUUCGUAUAAUUUUUUAACUGUGGCCAUAAUAUGGACUGUAAUGCUAAAAAAAAUAUGGGCUUCAAAAAACCUUAAGAAUUAGCAAAUGGACUGUAAAUUAUCAAUAAUGCUACACGUACAGGAGAUUACGGGCGUUUUACAGGCUGACUAGGAGUCCGUCCGAGGUGGCUGCGAGGGUGCGAGCGCGCGCUGAACUGAAAAGGAAAAGAUAAAAUAAAAAAUAAAAAUCCCGGCGGUUUCCUUUCUCUCCGAAGCGACGACCGGCUCGCCCAGAUCGGCCAAGCUAUCUGCUCUAGUUCCCCUCAUGGCUGUGUGGAUGCGAUCUCUUUCGACGCGUCAGGAUGUGCUACCUUCAGGCGGCGAGGCGACUUCCUCCUCGUUGGAUGCCCCAUGGCUGCCUCCUCCGAUGCGUCGAGGCGAUCCCCUGCUUGUCGGCAGUGUCACGACCGGUUCCUCCAGAGCGACCAGGCGAUCCCCUGCUCGUCGGCAGCGUGACGGCCGGCUCCUUCAGAGAGGCAAGGCGGCCUCGUCGUAUAGACGCUGGAAGCGCCGUGGGCGAGCCCCGUGGAGCCCUGGGCGGCGUACAGGCUAGUCGUGCGGCGGCUGACGAUGCUGGUCGACCUGCUCCUGAGCGUGCAGGGCAGCGUUGACGUUCUCAUCCCCCCGCAGCUGGACCAGAUGGACAAGCUAAAGUGCCAAACUGGGAGAGGAAUAUACACUCCAGCAGCAGUGGUAUUCUCUAUGCAAUCAAACAAGAAGCAUUUUGUGUUGAUUCACCGAAUCAAAAGAGACCAAAAUCAGACCACAUAUGAUUGCAGAUUAUGCGUGUGUAUGUGGAGAAGAUGACUGGAGUGUGCAAGUUCCGUACAGAAUUGCUCGCGUAGUUGGUGUUGAUUGUAACGUGUACUUUUCAUUAUAUGAUUUUGUGUGGUUGUAAAAUCCGACCUUAUGAAUAAGAGCAAUAUACAAGGUUGUUUAUUUCUUGAAAAA